rnacentral:rRNA from 1 species
CAGCAGGCGCGAAACCUUUACACUGCACGAAGGUGCGAUAAGGGGACUCCGAGUGCGAGGGCAUACAGUCCUCGCUAUUGUGUACCGUAGGGUGGUACACGACCAAGAGCUGGGCAAGACCGGUGCCAGCCGCCGCGGUAAUACCGGCAGCUCGAGUGAUGGCCGAUUUUAUUGGGCCUAAAGCGUCCGUAGCUGGCCCUGCAAGUCCGUCGGGAAAUCCACUCGCCUAACGAGUGGGCGUCCGGCGGAAACUACAGGGCUUGGGACCGGAAGACUUGAGGGGUACGUCUGGGGUAGGAGUGAAAUCCUGUAAUCCUGGACGGACCGCCGAUGGCGAAAGCACCUCAAGACGACGGAUCCGACAGUGAGGGACGAAAGCUAGGGUCUCGAACCGGAUUAGAUACCCGGGUAGUCCUAGCCGUAAACGAUGUUCGCUAGAUGUGGCACAGGCUACGUGCCUGUGCUGUGUCGUAGGGAAGCCGAGAAGCGAACCGCCU